AGUCUUAUAUUCAAUUAUGAUUAUAAAUUGCAAAUUUAUAGGUGAAAAAAAAUUCUAAGGCUU
rnacentral:tRNA from 1 species